GAUGAACGCUAGCGGCAGGCUUAACACAUGCAAGUCGAGGGGCAGCGCGGAGUAGCAAUACUCUGGCGGCGACCGGCGAAAGGGUGAGUAACGCGUGAGCAACAUGCCCGAUACUGGAGGAUAGUCGAUGGAAACGUCGCGUAAUACUCCGUAACAACAAUGAUCGCAUGGUUAAUGUUUAAUAGAUUUAUCGGUAUCGGAUUGGCUCGCGUCCCAUUAGGCAGUUGGCGGGGUAACGGCCCACCAAACCGACGAUGGGUAGGGGUUCUGAGAGGAAGGUCCCCCACAUUGGAACUGAGACACGGUCCAGACUCC
rnacentral:rRNA from 1 species